rnacentral:rRNA from 1 species
CUAGUUGGUGAGGUAACGGCCCACCAAGGCGACGACGGGUAGCCGGCCUGAGAGGGCGACCGGCCACACUGGGACUGAGACACGGCCCAGACUCCUACGGGAGGCAGCAGUGGGGAAUAUUGCGCAAUGGGCGAAAGCCUGACGCAGCGACGCCGCGUGGGGGAUGAAGGCCUUCGGGUUGUAAACCCCUUUCAGCAGGGACGAAGCGAAAGUGACGGUACCUGCAGAAGAAGCGCCGGCUAACUACGUGCCAGCAGCCGCGGUAACACGUAGGGCGCAAGCGUUGUCCGGAAUUAUUGGGCGUAAAGAGCUCGUAGGCGGUCUGUUGCGUCCGCUGUGAAAACCUAGGGCUUAACCCUGGGCUUGCAGUGGAUACGGGCAGACUAGAGGUAGGUAGGGGAGAAUGGAAUUCCCGGUGUAGCGGUGAAAUGCGCAGAUAUCGGGAGGAACACCGGUGGCGAAGGCGGUUCUCUGGGCCUUACCUGACGCUGAGGAGCGAAAGCGUGGGGAGCGAACAGGAUUAGAUACCCUGGUAGUCCACGCUGUAAACGUUGGGCGCUAGGUGUGGGGUCCUUCCACGGAUUCCGUGCCGCAGCUAACGCAUUAAGCGCCCCGCCUGGGGAGUACGGCCGCAGGGCUAAAACUCAAAGGAAUUGACG